UGGCUGUGUAGUUCUCUGAGCAAGUGUGGGGCAAGCUGGAGGACUGGCAGAAGGAGCUCUGCAAGCACGUGAUGAGGGGCAACUGCGAGAUGCUGGUCUCUUUGGACUACGCCAUCUCCAAGUCCGAGGUCCUCUCCCAGAUUGAACAAGGGAAGGAGCCCUGCAACUGGCGCCGCCCUGACCCCAAGAUUCCAGAUGUUCCUGUGGACCCCAGUCCAGUUUAGUACUGCUAAACUAAAGUAGAUUAAUGAGAAGGGAGAGAGAGCCAAGACCAUCAAGCAGACAAAGAAUUUCUCUCUUCAUAUGCAGAAACUGAGGCCCAGCAGAGAUUGAGUAACUUAUGCGAGUUGUCACUCA
rnacentral:lncRNA from 1 species